ensembl:lncRNA
UUUUUUUUUUUUUCUUUUUUUUUUUAAGUUAUCCAGAGGACUCUUACACUUACUAAAGUUGGAGGAUGAUCAUUCUAAGCAGUUGUGAGGAUUGCACGAGAUAAUAUGAACAAAGACUUUAGGACUAUAUCUGGCCCAUGGUAAGUGCUCCAUAUAUGGAAGCAAUUAUUUUUAUCAUUAGAGCACACUGCGGUGUAGACUAACUUGGUCAGAGAAGCUAGGCAAGUUCAUGAAGAGAAAAAAGGGAGACGGCAUUACUCUUUCUCGGGAUUAUAACUCUGACCUCAAAGGAAGCCAGGAGGACAGGCACACUGAAUGUAACCCAAUUUGACUUAAAUGGAAGAUGGAGGCAAAUCAUUGUGAUGUGUUGAGUAUUCAGCAACAAAAUAACAACCUGAAAACAGAUGAAGAAGGUUGCUCUCCUAACAGCAAAAUCCCUUAAGGCUCCCAGGCGUUCUGAAGGUGAAUUUUUAAGCAUUGAUGGAAAUGCGUUAAUGAGCAUAUAAACCUGUGGUCGAAUGGUGACCACCAUGCCUGAAGCUCUGUUGAAAAAUUAUUGACAGCUAUAUUGCUUAUUCCUGUAGUGGUUUGGAAAUGAAAUGCCUUUCUCUAAUCAAGUAAUUGCAUUAAGGAGCUACUGGGAACAUUUGGUUGCUUUUCCGGAAUAGGCAAGAAGUCAACUGCACUUCAACCAGGUUAACUGUCAAGAGGAGUUUGGCUCAAAUUUCUUUUAGUUCAACUAAUGUCUUUUUUUUUUUUCUCAUGCAUAUGUAAGCAAAAGUAUAAAAAUAAAGUCAGCUAACAGCCAAAACACAACAGCACAUUUGUAAUAAAUCCUGCCUGUUUCUGAAAUGAAAUUCAGCAAAAGAUGUGUUUUUGUUUUUUCUUUUUAAGGGAGGGAUGGUGGAGAUGUGGGUUUGGAUACAACCUUAAACCCUAAAAUGAGCCGCAACAGAGGUGGAGUGAGAUGGAUUUCCAGUGACUAAGGCAGACAGCGUCACGCCCAGCUUUAACUGUGUGAAGAUUCAUUGUGCAUUUUGCCAUGGUCCAAGCAGAAAGAUACAUUUUCUGGUUACAAUGGUUUCAGUCGGCAGAAUUUACCUGAAAAUUCAGUCAAAAAAGUCUCUCAUUUGAAAGAUGAACUGGGAGAGAAUUGUGAACACACAGAACAAGGAUAUAAGUAGACAGAAAAUGGUCAUUUUUUUGUCAAGUUGUUAUUGUGAAAUUUCAAGCCCCUUGGGUCUUCGAAAGGCCACUUUCAUGUCUACAGCUCCAUAAAGAUACAACCACUGAAAUAAAAAACACAGUGACUGGGCCAUUUUGUUUAAACAGCGUCACAUUCUUGGCUAGUCUUGUUUGUCACCAAAUUGCCUGAUGAAUACUGUUUUGAUGCCACGCCCUAGAUACAACUUUGUGUUUUUGUGCUCUUGGGCACGAAUGGGUGACUAGCUCACUCAUGGGCUGUGGUUCUAAGGCCCCUGAUUACUGAGCAAAGUGGAUCUGAAUUGCUAGAACAUUUGAGCCCAUUCGUCCGGUCCUGCUCGUUCUCCUCCUCUUCCUCUUUUUCUCUCCCGUAUAUACAGUGAUAUGCAGGGAGUACUACUACAUCAUAGAUCUCAGUCCUCAAAGCUUACAAAAUUACUUCCAUUUGUGAGGUAAACUUACUCUUGUUCCUCAGUCUUGAAUUUACCCACCAGGCUUGCUGCAAAGAAUGAGCUUCAAAAUAACCUAACGAUUUCCACGUGGCAGGGCCAUGGGUUACAGAGCACAGCCUGUGCCCCCAGAACAGGAACCCACAUUGUUCUUGUUGGAAGGAGUGGAUGUGAUGGCAGGGAAAGGUGACACAAGAAAGAAGCUGGCCACCAAGCCUCUGAGCUUUGUGACCUGAUGCUCACCUGACCCAUGGCCAGGCUGUCUCCUCUCUGCCAAAUAGGGAGAGAAACUCUGACUUGGCUGACGUCGUGGGUGUGUUAGGUAAUGUUUGCCAACUACUUUGAAGAUGAAAAGCAUUAUGGGGCACUAAAUAUGAUAAUUAUCAAUUAUAAAACCUCACACCACUCCUUGGAACACUGGGGCAAAUGAGCAGGAAAUAUAAAUGUUUGUGACAGGAAGCCGGGAGCCAGGAUGGCUCGUGAAAUGUGAAAAGUUCAACACACAGUGUCCUUACCUGGGGCAAGCCAGGAACUCAUUUGUCUUUGGAAGGUAAAUGCUUCCUUGAGCUAAUGAGGAGGCCCCCUGAGAGACUGCCUUCUUGAGUACUCAUGGAAUUAUGGGCAAGGGGUGCCUGUGCACCUCUCCAGUGCCACCUGGGUGCCAUGACAAAAAUGGCCCACUUGGAGUCUGGCCUGGGCUUUUCCCUCAUCCUUUCUCUAUUAUCCGAGGAUAACAGGGUGAUAGACUGAAGACCUCUGGCCUGUUCAGAUAUUCACACAUUCUAGACACACAUCAUGAUGAUAUUCACACAUCAUAGCCAUUGAGCUUUUGCAAGGAUCUUGGAACGAGGCACACACCUCCUCUGGCCAUUUGAUUAUGUUUAUAAACUUAAGUGUUCUUGUUUUAGAAAUCUUUAGCCUUUUCAGGGUCAUCUGGAAUCCCUAGGCUGAUGUGUCUGGCUAUCGGCACAUGUAGUGUAGGCAGUUGACUCUACGGCUUCAUCUUGAGGGGUAUGGGGCAGGAUGUCCGUCCCAGUAGUCAACCCUUUUGCCCAUCAGGCCACCAAUGGGAAUUCCUCUUGCCAGUGGUUUGUCUGUACAAGUCUCCCAUCAAAUGCAUCCUUGCAAAGGAUGGUGGUAAAAUAGUAACUCCUCGUUCAUCUUUUUUGAAAGACAGAAGAAUUUGGGGGCACUCAGAAGAAUUACAAUUAUUUAUCUCCUAUGAGAUGAGGGGCUAAUAGGCUGAGGUGUGGUCAGGACAAAACAGAGUGGAAACAGUGCCCAUUACUGAGCAAGUAGACAACAUAAGACUCCAAGUCUAAACCCCACCAGCACCCAGCUGUGUGCUCAUGGUGAACCCCUUCCCCUCCCAUACAGAGGCUCAGUGAACAUUUGUAAAAUGAAACCAGCCCAGCGAGGCAAAUGAUUUUUAGUUCUUUCAUGCAUGCUCUAAAGACUCAAUGUCUUUUGAGCUAGGUCUCCAGUGGUAUUGUUAGGGGAACGAAAAAGAGCACUGUGACUUUCCUGGGAGAAACUACCAGCUGUGUGACCCUGGGCAAGGUAUGCAAGCUCUCUGUCCCUCAGUUCCUUCACCUCAAAAUGGGGAUAACAAUGUACCUACCUCAUAGGAUUCUGAGGAUUACACAAGCUAAUACUAAAGCAUGGAGAACAGUGCCUAGCACAUCAUAAAUGCAGUGUGGAUGUUGGUGAAUAAACAGAAAGAAAAUAAACUAUAGAUUCCUUUGGCAGUUAGAGAGAGACACAGAGUCAAGGCCCACAAGUGCAUUAAAAAUAAGACCAGAAGAGAGAAGAGAAGAAGACCUAAAUGUGCUAAAGAAGCAAAUAUUUAGAAAACGUUAAGGAGCUGGAAGCAUUGCAUCCGGGUUGGGAUGAGUGGUGUUGGAUGGUUCAUUUCCUUAGGAACCUGAGUACCUGAGAGAGAAAGCUCAGCUGGGAACUGGAGUUAGAAGGAAAAAGCAUCAAGAGCAGUGAGUGCCUCUGGCUGCCCCUAGAGUUGGUAAGCCUAGGCUUCCGGGGAGAGGCUGAUCCAUGCUGGGAACCCAUCAGUACUGAGGAAGAAAAGCGAGGACUAGAGAAGGAGCAAUUGUGCAGGGUGGGCAACCUAGUAACAGAGGCAAGGGGGCUGCCUGGAUGAGGAGGAGAGGACCAGGUGUGUAGGACUGGGCUGGCAGGUGAGGUUAUGUUCAGAGGGCUCCAGUGGGAAAUCUGGUAUGUGGAGGUCGGCCUGCACAGGGGGUUGGCGAGCAGAGACACAGAAGAGCAGGUCUCAGUAACACAGGCAGGGGUCCAGCACCAGAUCGGGGCAUUGGUCACAAGAGAGAAGCUUGGGGCAAAAUCUGGGUAUCUCCAGGAACAGAGCUGUUCUGUGUGUGGUGGAGACUCAACCAUGUGUUCACCAAAUCCAUUUCCUGUUCUUCCUGGGUCCAUGACUACAGAAAUGUCCUGGCCACCCCCCUCCCGAUAGGUGGAAGCUGACUUCUGACUGAGUCUGACCAGUGAACUAUGAACAGAAGUGGGGAGCAUCCCAGGCUUGGUCCCAAAGGCUCCCUUGCAAUAUCCUCCAUUCUCACCCUUUCCUGCUGACUGGGUGCAGACCAACAUGACACCUUUGGGAGACGGAAGAGCCAUGGAUGGAAGAAGCUUGGAUCACUGAAUCUGAUUUGGAAAACCUAUUUUGGAACAUAAUGCAAUAAACUACUUAGAUUACUGGAUUUUGUUGUUACAUCUGUCAGCGUUAUUAAAUUUAAACCAGUAAACUGAGGCUUUCAUGGAUAGUCAAUCAAAGGUUAAGGUCAAAGACAUUCUGAGACUUGCCCAGACUUAGGAUGAAGCAACAGAGGGCCCUUUGGUGCUUGGUGGCUGCAACGUAACUGAGUUCUAGUAGGGAGUUUAUUUUUUUGUUGCCUGUGUAUAAUUUUUACCCCAAGAAUCCCUUAUGGUGCUGGCUGUGACGGAUGAACAAACUCUUAGUGCUUAAUGUGUGUGUCUGUAAACAUAUGGAGAAGGGAAAGCUGCCUGAAGAUUGGACAAAGAGCCUUGUAAAUAUCUUGGGGUGAAUGACAAUGGGAAGGUUAGGAGGAGUCUGCUGGGGAGCUGCCUGCAAACGUCCCCUCUUAUUCAGGAAUUGUAUCAUCAGCUGAGUCCUUUGGAAUUGACAGACAAUUGUGAAGAUAAAAUGAUCCUGUAGCAUAAGAAGCUGUAGGUGGUAUGGUAGCCAUAAAAGUUCCUCAUUAGUGACAAGAUUUUAACAAAACCAAAUACAUUUUAAGAAACAAGGACAUUCAUGGCUGGGUGCGGUGGCUCACGCCUGUAAUCCCAGCACUUUGG